AGUGGCGAACGGGUGAGUAACACGUGGGUAACCUGCCCAUCAGAAGGGGAUAACACUUGGAAACAGGUGCUAAUACCGUAUAACAAUCGAAACCGCAUGGUUUUGAUUUGAAAGGCGCUUUCGGGUGUCGCUGAUGGAUGGACCCGCGGUGCAUUAGCUAGUUGGUGAGGUAACGGCUCACCAAGGCCACGAUGCAUAGCCGACCUGAGAGGGUGAUCGGCCACAUUGGGACUGAGACACGGCCCAAACUCCUACGGGAGGCAGCAGUAGGGAAUCUUCGGCAAUGGACGAAAGUCUGACCGAGCAACGCCGCGUGAGUGAAGAAGGUUUUCGGAUCGUAAAACUCUGUUGUUAGAGAAGAACAAGGAUGAGAGUAACUGUUCAUCCCUUGACGGUAUCUAACCAGAAAGCCACGGCUAACUACGUGCCAGCAGCCGCGGUAAUACGUAGGUGGCAAGCGUUGUCCGGAUUUAUUGGGCGUAAAGCGAGCGCAGGCGGUUUCUUAAGUCUGAUGUGAAAGCCCCCGGCUCAACCGGGGAGGGUCAUUGGAAACUGGGAGACUUGAGUGCAGAAGAGGAGAGUGGAAUUCCAUGUGUAGCGGUGAAAUGCGUAGAUAUAUGGAGGAACACCAGUGGCGAAGGCGGCUCUCUGGUCUGUAACUGACGCUGAGGCUCGAAAGCGUGGGGAGCAAACAGGAUUAGAUACCCUGGUAGUCCACGCCGUAAACGAUGAGUGCUAAGUGUUGGAGGGUUUCCGCCCUUCAGUGCUGCAGCUAACGCAUUAAGCACUCCGCCUGGGGAGUACGACCGCAAGGUUGAAACUCAAAGGAAUUGACGGGGGCCCGCACAAGCGGUGGAGCAUGUGGUUUAAUUCGAAGCAACGCGAAGAACCUUACCAGGUCUUGACAU
rnacentral:rRNA from 1 species